GAAUCAGCCAAAUAUGAAGAUCUUUGUCUUUGCCUUUAUCAUGGCCCUCAUGAUUGCCUUGAUUGGAGCUGAUUCAUCUGAAGAGAAUCUUCUUUACCGUCCAUAUCCACGAUUUUAUCCUUACCCUGCUUGGUGGAAAGUCCUAUUUGCUUUCUUACUCAAAAUGAUUCUUCCUAAAGAAAAAUCCUUUAAUCAUCUAGUAACACUUAUUAGCCCCAAUACACCACAUACACCCAAAGUAUUUGUAAAAUUAUGUUUUGGAAUUUAAUUUUUUAAAUUGCAUUAUAUUAUGCGCUAUAUCACAAUUUUAAAAUAAUUGGAUCGAUCAUAAUUUCUAGAUUUUCCGUAAGAAAAAAGAAAUCUAAUCAAAUAAUGUUACAUGGACAACACACACCAGAGAUUAAUGAUCAAUAUUUUGAAAAUAGUAAUAGUAGUCUCUGAACUAUUGGAAAAUCUCCUUUUCUCCUCUGUGUUAAUAACAUCAUAAAAAUGUUUAAAAACCUUAUGCAUAAUAAACUGAUUAUCAAGCAUAUACA
rnacentral:lncRNA from 12 species